UACGUAGGGUGCGAGCGUUAAUCGGAAUUACUGGGCGUAAAGCGUGCGCAGGCGGCUUUGCAAGACAGAUGUGAAAUCCCCCGGGCUUAACCUGGGAAUUGCGUUGGAGACUGCAAGGCUGGAGUCUGGCAGAGGGGGGUAGAAUUCCACGUGUAGCAGUGAAAUGCGUAGAGAUGUGGAGGAACACCGAUGGCGAAGGCAGCCCCCCUGGGUCAAGACUGACGCUCAU
rnacentral:rRNA from 1 species